AUUGAACGCUGGCGGCAUGCCUAACACAUGCAAGUCGAGCGGAAGGAGGGUGCUUUUUCCUGGAUUCCGAGUGGGGAGGGGGAGAAUUGCACAUGAAUAUGCCGGGUAUUGGGGGGUAAUGUCCGGAAAAGGCCGGUAAUAAUGCAUACGUGCUGAGCGUGCAACAGGGGGGUCUUUGGACCUCUCGCGCUCUGAGGUGCCUAGGUGGGGUUUGUUAGCUGGUGGGGUAAAGGGCUACCAAGCCGACGAUCCGUAACUGGUCUGAGAGGAUGAUCAGUCACACUGGAGCUGGAACACGGUCAAGACUCCUACGGGAGGCAGCAGAGGGGAAUGUUGGGCAAUGGUCGAAAGCCUGAUCCAACCAUGCCGAGUGUGUGAAGAAGGUGUUCGGAUUGUAAAGCACGUUUAGUUGGGAGGAAGGGCUGUAAGUUAAUACGUUGCUGUUUUGACGUUACCGGCAGAAUAGGCACCGGCUAACUACGUG
rnacentral:rRNA from 1 species